rnacentral:rRNA from 1 species
CGAAGGGCUAAAAUGCAGUCGAACGGUAACAUUUCUAGCUUGCUAGAAGAUGACGAGUGGCGGACGGGUGAGUAAUACUUAGGAAUAUGCCUUUGUGUGGGGGAUAACUAUUGGAAACGAUAGCUAAUACCGCAUAACGUCUUCGGACCAAAGGGGGCUUCGGCUCCCGCGCAAAGAGUAGCCUAAGCGAGAUUAGCUUGUUGGUGAGGUAAAGGCUCACCAAGGCGACGAUCUCUAGCUGUUCUGAGAGGAAGAUCAGCCACACUGGAACUGAGACACGGUCCAGACUCCUACGGGAGGCAGCAGUGGGGAAUAUUGCACAAUGGGGGAAACCCUGAUGCAGCCAUGCCGCGUGUGUGAAGAAGGCCUUCGGGUUGUAAAGCACUUUCAGUUGUGAGGAAAGGUUGAUGGUUAAUACCCAUUAGCUGUGACGUUAGCAACAGAAGAAGGACCGGCUAACUCCGUGCCAGCAGCCGCGGUAAUACGGAGGGUCCGAGCGUUAAUCGGAAUUACUGGGCGUAAAGCGCACGCAGGCGGUUUGUUAAGCUAGAUGUGAAAGCCCUGGGCUCAACCUGGGAAUUGCAUUUAGAACUGGCAGGCUAGAGUUUUGGAGAGGGGAGUGGAAUUCCAGGUGUAGCGGUGAAAUGCGUAGAUAUCUGGAGGAACAUCAGUGGCGAAGGCGACUCCCUGGUCAGUAACUGACGCUCAUGUGCGAAAGUGUGGGUAGCGAACAGGAUUAGAUACCCUGGUAGUCCACACCGUAAACGCUGUCUACUAGCUGUUUGUGGAUUUAAUCCGUGAGUAGCGAAGCUAACGCGAUAAGUAGACCGCCUGGGGAGUACGGCCGCAAGGUUAAAACUCAAAUGAAUUGACGGGGGCCCGCACAAGCGGUGGAGCAUGUGGUUUAAUUCGAUGCAACGCGAAGAACCUUACCUACUCUUGACUACUAGAAACUUUUCAAAGAUGAAUUGGUGCCUUCGGAAUCUAGAUACAGGUGCUGCAUGGCUGCCGCCACUCGGGCCC